rnacentral:rRNA from 1 species
GACAGAGGGUGCUAGCGUUGUUCGGAAUUACUGGGCGUAAAGGGCGCGUAGGCGGCUUGUUUAGUCGGGUGUGAAAUCCCGGGGCUCAACCCCGGAACUGCAUUCGAUACUGGCAGGCUAGAGACCGGAAGAGGUGGGUGGAAUACCCAGUGUAGAGGUGAAAUUCGUAGAUAUUGGGUGGAACACCGGUGGCGAAGGCGGCUCACUGGACCACAACUGACGCUGAGGCGCGAAAGCUAGGGGAGCAAACAGG